CAAGUCGAGCGAGAAAGUGUAGCAAUACAUGAGUACAGCGGCGCACGGGUGAGUAACACGUGGAUAACCUGCCUCAAAGUGGGGAAUAACACCGGGAAACCGGUGCUAAUACCGCAUAUUCUGAUGAGAUCUGCGGAUUUUGUCAGGAAAGGAGCAAUUCGCUAUGAGAGGGGUCCGCGGCUGAUUAGCUAGUUGGUGAGGUAAUGGCUCACCAAGGCCACGAUCAGUAGCCGGUCUGAGAGGACGGUCGGCCACACUGGAACUGAGACACGGUCCAGACUCCUACGGGAGGCAGCAGUGGGGAAUUUUUCGCAAUGGGGGCAACCCUGACGAAGCAAUGCCGCGUGGAUGAUGAGGUCUCUUGGGACGUAAAAUCCUUUCGACAGGGACGAAACCGCAAGGUUGACGGUACCUGUAGAAGAAGCCCCGGCUAACUCCGUGCCAGCAGCCGCGGUAAUACGGGGGGGGCAAGCGUUGUUCGGAAUUACUGGGCGUAAAGGGUGCGUAGGCGGCUCUCUAAGUCGGAUGUGAAAACUCUGGGCUCAACCCAGAGCCUGCAUCCGAAACUGGAGGGCUAGGGUUCUGGAGGGGAAAGCGGAAUUCCUGGUGUAGCGGUGAAAUGCGUAGAUAUCAGGAGGAACACCGGUGGCGAAGGCGGCUUUCUGGACAGAUACCGACGCUGAGGCACGAAAGCUAGGGGAGCAAACAGGAUUAGAUACCCUGGUAGUCCUAGCCCUAAACUAUGGAUACUUGCUGUGGGGGGGAUUGAAGCCCCUUGUGGCGAAGCUAACGCAUUAAGUAUCCC
rnacentral:rRNA from 1 species